rnacentral:misc_RNA from 1 species
GAAAUGCGAUACGUAGUGUGAAUUGCAGAAUUCCGUGAACCAUCGAAUCUUUGAACGCAUAUUGCGCUCGAGCCUUCGGGCAAGAGCAUGUCUGCCUCAGCGUCGGUUUACACCCUCACCCCUCCCAACUUGUUGGGUGUGUCGGCUUCUCUAGCUGGCCAUUGGGGUGGAUCUGGCUUCCCCAAUCUGCUUUACUGCGGAUUGGGUUGGCUGAAGUGCAGAGGCUUAAGCAAGGACCCGUUAUGGGCUUCAACUGGAUAGGUAGCACCGGCUUCUGCCGACUACACGAAGUUGUUGCUUGUGGAUCUUGCUAGGAGCCAAGCAGGAACAUACCUAUGGUAUGUCUAAACUUUCGACCUGAGCUCAGGCAAGGCUACCCGCUGAACUUAA